rnacentral:lncRNA from 1 species
UUUUGUUCUCUUUUUUUUUUGCGAGGUUAUUCUUUGUUUUUUAACAUGUGAUAUGCAAGCUUGUACUCCCUCCGUCCCAUAAUAUAAAAACGUUUUUGAUACUAAUAUAGUUAAAAAUGUUUUUAUAUUAUGGGACGGAGGGAGUAUGUAUUUUCAGAAGAAGAAGAAAUGUCGAAAAUUCCUUGGGUAAGAUAACGACAUGCACCUGCUGAGUCGUCGUCUCGUGCCCAAAGACAAAAAUAAAAGGAGCCGUCCUCUAUCUCUUCCUUUUAGGAAAAACACAUUCCCUCUUUAAUUCUGUGAACGAGAGCUAUAGGCAAGUCGUGUGGGGGUUUGCAAGUCGCAACGAAGAUACCUAAAUGCAUUGGAGGUCGUUUUUGAAGUGCAGUUUCUCAAGGGAGCCAAAUCAAUAUUGUUAGAUUCAUUAUAGCAUGUCCAAUGCAAAGCGCCGCUUAAAAUAUAGAAGUAAAUAAUAUUUUAAUCUGGUGGCUUUGUUAGCGCCUCACGUUCCAACGCAAAGAACGAUCUGAUGGGCGUUUGUGCAGAUUUUUUCUUCUAUUGGUAUGUUGAAUCUUCCGCUGGCGCCCGGCUACUCAGUAGGCAUCGAUGCCAGAUAAAAUUCCAGGAUGGACCAGGAUAUGACCGUAACGGCUGGGGAAUCAAUCCUGGCGUCCGGGGCUAGCGCCCGCGUUGGAGAUGCCCUUAUGAAUGUGGUUUCAUAGUAUCUAUAUUUGGUAUUAUAGAUGUUAAUAUUUUUCAAUAUAAAUUUGAUCAAAUUUUAUCUUGUCAUAAAUCUAAUACGCUCAGUAAAAAGAACCGGAGGGAGUACAUGUUUCUCAGAAAGGCUCAUGUCUCAUGUAAUAUAUAACACUAGUUUAUGUUACUAUCUUUAUAAUGCAAAGUAACAUAUAGGUAGUGUCAUAUACUCCCUCCUUCUAUCUAUAUAGGGCCUAAUGUGCUUUUUAAGACCGUCUUUGACUAUUGAUAAGAUUAAUAGUACAUGACAUGCAUAAUAUGAAAAUUAUAUCAUUGAAAGCUCCUUUCACAUACGAAUUUGACUGUAUGCUUUGUGUAAGUUGCAUGUCAUAUAUUAUUGCUAUAACAUUUGGUCAAAGUUAGUUUUGAAAAACGCAUUAGGCCCUAUAUAGAUGGAAGGAGGGAGUAUGAUUUUAUUUAUUAGCUCGUAGACUCAUUUUUUGUUAGGAAGCAUUAUAUGAUGAUAACAUAGUCAUCAGCUCUUUCUCCGUCUUCUUUUUCUAAAUAGCUACAACCCACUAUCUAUUUUUUCUAGCCAUGCAACCAUGUCACAUAAGCAACUUAUGCAUGUGAGCCAUAAAUUACGUUUGCAUUAAAUUCUAUGCAUGCAAUGCUGUCACAUCAUCAAUUCAUGCAUGUUAGUCAUAAAUUUAAUUUUUUUAUUAGAGUUCAUCCUUCCCAUUUUGUUAGAAAUGACUUUUCUUUGCUACAAUAUACGCUUCAUAUUGUUUUAAGCUCAUAUGAUUUUCGUUAGUUUUAGAUGUUUAUGUAGCAACUAUUUUCAUUAUUUUAGCAAGGUUCCCACACCAACACGCGGUGUAUCAUCCAGUUUAAUACUAUGUCAUGUCACUAAUAUGCUUUGGUUGGAUCCGGUGAGAAACACACUUUCGCUCCCUUUCUAAAGGCAUUGCUAUUGACGAAUCUCGUCGUAUGUGUGAUGUCGUGAGAUGAUUGGUGUGGAUAUACUCAUUGUUAUAGUUUGCCGAUUGCAGAUCUAAUUGCUUUGAUUUUUUUUCUCAUCUCCGCAUAACUUUGAUCCCAUGUGACUUUGUUAUUUGCCAACGUGUUUUCGUGUGCGUGCGUUAGUGUGGAUGUGUGCAUCCUUAUGUAGAGGCCGGGUGUGAGUUCAUUGUCCAGGCGCCAUUUGUGUCUUACCAACACCCUCCCCUCCCCCGGGGUUGUUCUAAAAAAAUAGGCGUGGAUUGGGGCAGAGAGACCCUUGUUAGCGAUGGUAUUCAUCUUGGCCAUGGAAAUUUCGCAUCGCAUGUUCGCUCAUGCUUUCAUGUGGGGUUGUUGGCCUAUUUGUUAAGCCGACCUUGUUCCGAAGACUAUUUUUUCUAAAAAAGGAGGAAGACCCCCGGCCUCUGCAUCUGGGCGAUACAUGCAACUAUUUUAUUAACUAUUCACAAAGAUCUUACAAAGUAAUACAUCAGUACGUCUAAAGUUACCAUCUUGGCAAUCUGUCGCUACGGCUAUCCAUGUGAUGAAGGGAUGCCGAUAGUCCGAGCUGAAUACUAAACAGACCUCACACCAUAGCUUAACAUCUAAAGCCGGAGGCCCCAACCAAGCCACAUUGUCAGGUUUGGGGUACACACCGGUCCGGCACACUCUCAGAGGCCACCGUGCCGCCGUGUUCCAAAGACUAUUGAUCCUCACGGAUGAUGUUAUGGUUUUCCUCGAUCUAUGGGAGCUAGACGUGGAGGUAUUUUUGGCAAUCCUGGUGGAUUUAGGCGUAGCUUCUGGGAUGAGGAUCAACCAACAACCAUGGUAAGUGCACGGCGACGCAUGUCAAAAGCUCGGAUGAUGAUAUGGCGCUCGUCUCGGUGAGCCUUAACUGCAUAGUGGAUUAGUUGUAUCCGCACGCUCGAUCAUGACAGUGCUAUUGGGUGUUUUAUUCUCUCCUUCUCUAAUAUGUGAUACGCACGCUUGUGUGUAUUUUCAGAAGAAGAAGAAGAAGAAAUGCCGAAAUUUCCUUCGGCAAGAUAAGGACGUGCAUCUGUUAAGUCGUCGUCUCUUCCCGGAAGACAAAAAGAAAAGGAGCCGUCCUCUAUCUCUUCCUUUUAGGAAAAACACAUUCCCUCUUUAAUUCUGUGAACGAGAGCUAUUGCCAAGUCAUUCGCAAAAAAAAAAAGAUUUAUUGCCAAGUCGGGUGGGGUACAGGACAAACACCGUGUUGGGUAAUGACUUUGAUUGUUGUGAUGCGUCCACAUCAUGUGAACCGCGUGGGAUAACCCCCGGAGAGCCGAAAGGUAAUGACUACAAGAAGAGAUUGACUGGCCACAAGGACGUGGUCAAAGUCUGAACUAUUCGUCGCCUCUGCUCCACUAUGCGCACGCAGGGGAAGCCAAUGCCAACAAAUGAUCAAUCAUGGAAACUGAACUCUUUUGGCCUCAUCGUGUGUUAUUGCCUACCUGGGCCCGCAGCAAAACCCAACAAGAGAUAAAUUGCAUGCUUCAUUAUAGACACUGAAGCAAAAGUUGCUUAUACGGACUUCGUAGCGAUCUAAACAAUGGAAAUUUCCACCACUUGCUUGGUAACAGAAAUAAGACAAAUGUAUUGUUGUAUACAUGAUCAUGAUGCGCAACUAGGGAAUUACAUGAAACUGAAAACCUACAUGCCAACCAAAACUGGCAAGGCGAAUACAGAUUUGGCCAAAAGUACCAUAUACAGCAGCCCCACAUCAUCGCGGAUAAAGAUUACAUAACAUGUAACGGUGCCCUGCGCACGGACAGCACUCCCGUGCCAGACAGUAGCAACUGAGGCAAUGGCCCUGCUCAUACUCUUGGCGCCAGAGAUACCAAGCCGAGCCAAGACCCUCCUAUUAAGAUCACUUAUGCAAUGGCAGCCAACUGACGGGUUCCUUCACCACAUCUCUGCUCA